AAGAGAUCGGGAUAACACCUGGAAACAGAUGCUAAUACCGGAUAACAACAGAUGAUGCCUAUCAACUGUUUAAAAGAUGGUUCUGCUAUCACUCUUGGAUGGACCUGCGGUGCAUUAGCUAGUUGGUAGGGUAACGGCCUACCAAGGCGAUGAUGCAUAGCCGAGUUGAGAGACUGAUCGGCCACAUUGGGACUGAGACACAGCCCAAACUCCUACGGGAGGCAGCGCC
rnacentral:rRNA from 1 species